rnacentral:rRNA from 1 species
GAUGAACGCUGGCGGCGUGCCUAAUACAUGCAAGUCGAGCGAACAGACGAGGAGCUUGCUCCUCUGACGUUAGCGGCGGACGGGUGAGUAACACGUGGAUAACCUACCUAUAAGACUGGGAUAACUUCGGGAAACCGGAGCUAAUACCGGAUAAUAUAUUGAACCGCAUGGUUCAAUAGUGAAAGACGGUUUUGCUGUCACUUAUAGAUGGAUCCGCGCCGCAUUAGCUAGUUGGUAAGGUAACGGCUUACCAAGGCAACGAUGCGUAGCCGACCCGAGAGGGUGAUCGGCCACACUGGAACUGAGACACGGUCCAGACUCCUACGGGAGGCAGCAGUAGGGAAUCUUCCGCAAUGGGCGAAAGCCUGACGGAGCAACGCCGCGUGAGUGAUGAAGGUCUUCGGAUCGUAAAACUCUGUUAUUAGGGAAGAACAAAUGUGUAAGUAACUAUGCACGUCUUGACGGUACCUAAUCAGAAAGCCACGGCUAACUACGU